GGGGUAUAGAAAUAUGGUCAUUUGGUCUUCUCCCGACCGGCAGUAAAACGCUUGUCGAAGUGGGGCGUCCGUUUGGCUGUGCGGGAUGUAUCAAGUUCGCAGUCACGUCCGGUCAGAAGGGGACGUUAAAUCCGAUGCCUCGUGUAAAGAGAGUGCCACGCUCUUUGCACGUUAAGAACCCUUGCAACAACUCUUUGAGGGGUCCGUGGGUGGCCUUUUGCAAGGCAAAAUUUCUGUCUAUCCAAUAUACCCUCAUUUUCCAGUGGCAGUCCAAAUUUCCCCGACCAUCAUCCUCUAUUAUAACAACCUACCUAUUGUAUUUAUUGUUAACUUGUUCUCGUCCUGAAUAUGCAUGAAAUAUUUGCCACUGGACGUUAAGCAACAAACAAUCAAUCAAUCAAUCCUCAAACCAAUGGGCUCACAGAAAGGUUUAACCAGACCCUGUGCAACUCACUCGGGAAGUAUGAAAAUGACUGGGACCAAUAUCUACAACAAGUUGCCUUUGCUGAGAGAACAUGUGUCCAGAAGUCAACAAAGCAGACUCAUUUUUCCUAGUAUAUGGCAUAAAACCUACCUUACCAAUAGAGCUAGACAUACCCUACAGCCAUGCCUUAAGACAAAUCAAAUGAAGUAGAACUGAACGAUAGAAUUACGUCAUUUGUCCAUCUGAUUAAGACCCAGAAAGACACCAAAGAAGAAUAAAAAAACUCAAGACUAAGCAGAAAGAGUACCAUGACAGAACCACUAGAAACCAUUUCUACCUGGUGAUCGAAUCAAUAGAUGUGGGGACAAGAUAGUGCACAGAUGGACAGGACAAUUAAUCAUACUAUAUAGAGAAAGGUGUCUAAAAGGUAAACGGAAGGAAGACAGUUCUUUUUGCAAAGAGCCAGAAAUAUGCAUUUUUUUAAUCCAACAUAAAUAAUAUACAACAGUACAG
rnacentral:lncRNA from 1 species